UGGGGAAUAUUGCACAAUGGGGGAAACCCUGAUGCAGCGACGCCGCGUGAGCGAAGAAGGCUUUCGAAUCGUAAAGCUCUGUCCUAUGGGAAGAUAAUGACGGUACCAUAGGAGGAAGCCCCGGCUAACUACGUGCCAGCAGCCGCGGUAAUACGUAGGGGGCGAGCGUUGUCCGGAAUUACUGGGCGUAAAGGGUUCGCAGGCGGCAUGGCAAGUCCGAUGUAAAAGGCGAAGGCUCAACCUUCGUAAGCAUCGGAAACUGUCAAGCUUGAGUGAAGGAGAGGCAAGUGGAAUUCCUAGUGUAGCGGUGGAAUGCGUAGAUAUUAGGAGGAAUACCGGUGGCGAAGGCGACUUGCUGGACUUCAACUGACGCUGAGGAACGAAAGCGUGGGUAGCAAACAGG
rnacentral:rRNA from 1 species